rnacentral:rRNA from 1 species
UGGGGAAUCUUGGACAAUGGGCGCAAGCCUGAUCCAGCCAUGCCGCGUGAGUGAUGAAGGCCUUAGGGUUGUAAAGCUCUUUUUGCCAGGGACGAUAAUGACGGUACCUGGAGAAUAAGCCCCGGCAAACUUCGUGCCAGCAGCCGCGGUAAUACGAAGGGGGCUAGCGUUGUUCGGAAUUACUGGGCGUAAAGCGCACGUAGGCGGAUUGUUAAGUCAGAGGUGAAAUCCCGGAGCUCAACUUCGGAACUGCCUUUGAUACUGGCAAUCUAGAGUCCGGAAGAGGUUAGUGGAAUUCCCAGUGUAGAGGUGAAAUUCGUAGAUAUUGGGAAGAACACCAGUGGCGAAGGCGGCUAACUGGUCCGGUACUGACGCUGAGGUGCGAAAGCGUGGGGAGCAAACAGGAUUAGAUACCCUAGUAGUCCCUGAG